rnacentral:misc_RNA from 1 species
GAUGAAGAACGCAGCGAAAUGCGAUAAGUAAUGUGAAUUGCAGAAUUCAGUGAAUCAUCGAAUCUUUGAACGCACAUUGCGCCCGCCAGUAUUCUGGCGGGCAUGCCUGUUCGAGCGUCAUUUCAACCAUCAAGCCCUGCUUGCGUUGGGGUCCUGCGGCUGCCCGCAGGCCCUGAAAACCAGUGGCGGGCUCGCUAGUCACACCGAGCGCAGUAAUACAUCUCGCUUUGGGCGUGCGGCGGGUUCUUGCCGUUAAACACCCCCUUUUUACCAAGGUUGACCUCGGAUCAGGUAGGAAUACCCGCUGAACUUAAGCAUAUCAAUAAGCGGACGA